rnacentral:rRNA from 1 species
GUGGGGAAUAUUGGACAAUGGGCGCAAGCCUGAUCCAGCCAUGCCGCGUGAGUGAUGAAGGCCUUAGGGUUGUAAAGCUCUUUUGUCCGGGAAGAUAAUGACUGUACCGGAAGAAUAAGCCCCGGCUAACUUCGUGCCAGCAGCCGCGGUAAUACGAAGGGGGCUAGCGUUGCUCGGAAUCACUGGGCGUAAAGGGCGCGUAGGCGGACUUUUAAGUCGGAGGUGAAAGCCCAGGGCUCAACCCUGGAAUUGCCUUCGAUACUGGGAGUCUUGAGUUCGGAAGAGGUUGGUGGAACUGCGAGUGUAGAGGUGAAAUUCGUAGAUAUUCGCAAGAACACCGGUGGCGAAGGCGGCCAACUGGUCCGAAACUGACGCUGAGGCGCGAAAGCAUGGGGAGCAAACAGGAUUAGAUACCCGAGUAGUCC